rnacentral:rRNA from 1 species
AAAAAUUUAAAUAUACAUAUAUUAGAGUAGUAACAGAUUAGUCUUGAAACUUAAAAAAUUUGGCGGUAAUUUAGUCUAUUCAGAGGAACUUGUUUAAUAAUUGAUGAUCCACAAUAUAUCUUACUUAAUUUAGUUAAAUUUUGUAUAUCAUUGUCUUUAGAAUAUUUUAGAAAAAUAAUAAUUUUCUUAAAUUUAAAUUUAAAAAUAUGUCAAAUCAAGGUGCAGAUAAUAAUUAAGAAUAAAUGAGUUACAAUAAAAUUAUUUAUACAGUAAAUAUUUUGAAAUAAAUAUUUUAAGGUGGAUUUGAGAGUAAAUUUAUUUAAGGUAGAUAAAUUGAUUUAAGCUCUAAAUUAUGC